AAGAACCCACCAAUUCCAGACACAAGAUGACAACGAUGGCAUUUUCUUCCUUCUUG
rnacentral:sRNA from 1 species